GACAGAGGGUGCAAACGUUGUUCGGAAUUACUGGGCGUAAAGCGCGUGUAGGCGGCUAUGCAAGUCGGAUGUGAAAGCCCUCGGCUCAACCGGGGAAGUGCACCCGAAACUGCAAGCUAGAGUCUCGGAGAGGAUCGUGGAAUUCUCGGUGUAGAGGUGAAAUUCGUAGAUAUCAGGAGGAACACCGACGGCGAAGGCAGCUUACUGGGCCGAUACUGACGCUGAGGAGCGAAAGCGUGGGGAGCGAACAGG
rnacentral:rRNA from 1 species